GACGAACGCUGGCGGCGUGCCUAAUACAUGCAAGUAGAACGCUGAAGCGAGGAGCUUGCUCUUCUUGGAUGAGUUGCGAACGGGUGAGUAACGCGUAGGUAACCUGCCUUGUAUCGGGGGAUAACUAUUGGAAACGAUAGCUAAUACCGCAUAACAAUGGAUGACACAUGUAAUUUAUUUGAAAGGGGCCAUUGCUCCACUACAAGAUGGACCUGCGUUGUAUUAGCUAGUAGGUGAGGUAAUGGCCCACCCAAGCGACGAUACAUAGCCGAGCUGGGAGGGAGAUUGGCCCCACUGGGAAUGAGACACGGCCCAGACCUCUACGGGGAGGAGCAGGAGGGGAUCUUCGGCAAAGGGGGGCACCCUGAACGCGCAACGACGGGUGAGUGAAGAAGGUUUUCGGAGCGGAAAGCUCUGUUGUAAGUCAAGAACGGGUGUGAGGGUAGAAAGUUCACACUGUGACGGUAGCUUACCAGAAAGGGACGGCUAACUACGUG
rnacentral:rRNA from 1 species